CUAGCAGUUUUGUUUACAGAAGCCAACGUCAGCAGUGAUUGCGAGGAGAAUGGGGCAACUGUUCUAACUCUAGGCCUGCUAUAGCACCAUUUACAUGGAGCCUGAGAUACUGAUCUACGGAGAAACAGCUCAGUCAGGAGUUACCCAGGCGGGCUGAAGGUAUUGAGAGGCAGACACCCAGAUAGAACAGCAGAGUGGAUCUAUCUGAGGGAACCAACAGCUUGAGAGCCUGCAGGACUGAUACCUCUCCAGACUGAAGGCCCGGAGCAGAGAUUCAUCCACGUAUUUAGCGCCUCUUUGACAGAUCACUGCUACAUUAAGGAGCCUGUGGUGGUUAUUGGGAGCAUGAUUAAACAGUGGAUAACUUGAUGGACCUGAAGUCAUGAAGAAGUCUGGGCCAGGAAAUCGGCAAUACACAGUGAGAAAUGUGUAUCCACCGAGGAGUUUUCCUUUUCACCUUCCCCAAGACCUGGAGUUUUCCUCCCACCUCUACUCCAGAAGUGAGUCCUUCAGGGCUGAUUCCACCUUCAAAUGAGACUGCAACUGAACAUACAGAAGCACAGCAAGAAACUUCACAGUAUUUUUUGCUCUGUUCAAAAGUGAUUUUGACUGACAUUAUUUUUAACUUAAAGUAACUGCUAUUACUGUGUAACUGUUACUUUUAUUUACUUAUACCUUUGUUAAAAUGGAAGCUUAAUGGCAUUAUAAUUCCAGGCUAGUACUUUAUAAAGAAAGAUGAUUUAAGUAUGAAUCUUAUGAGUAAAUUAUUUCCAUUUUAUUUUAUUCUAGAUAGUAUAACUAUUUUAAUUUGAUUAAUCCACCAUUAUAUAAACAACCAUGGGAGUUUUAUAUAUGUAAUCUUGCAGGUGGGGAAGCUUUGAAUUCUAAAGGCUGUGUCUUUAUGACAAAAACUGUAUUUACUGUGGUUGUAGAAAAAUGUGAAAGUUACCUUAUGCUGAAUUAAAUAAAUUUUAGUUGAUUUAAA